rnacentral:lncRNA from 1 species
GAUACAGUCAGCAGGGCAGGUGCAAGAGUUGAUGCAGGGAAUCAAACUUAGUUAUCUAUCUGUUAUUAGUUAGUUAUCGGGGGUAUUAUGGGGAAUUGAGGGAGUGAGGAAGUGUCGAUAAAUGUGAGAGUAGAGGGGCAGGGAAUGGGCAUUCACGUUUGUUAAGUCUUGUGGGACAGACCAGGCCUCUCGAAAAGCCUUGGAUCUGUUUCCCCUUUGUUUUCCAGUAAUUCAUUCAAGGAAGUAAUAGUUUAUUUCAUUGUUGAGUUCAUAUUGCCUAGGGUCCUAUCAAAUUUGGUAUCAGAGCAACAGUCCUGACAGGAUGACUCUCGCGGAUCGGGUUAGCGAAUUGGAAGCCAGUAUUGGAGGAAUGCGUCUAGAAAUGCAGGAAGGACUGGGAGCCAUGAGAAAGGAACUCCAAAGCCUUAUGACAAUCCUAAUCGAGAAGUUGGAGAUGAUGGCGCAAAAGCGGGAUGGACAUGAGCGUGAGCAGAAGGAAAAGGGUCCAGCAGCUAGCUCUUUUGGGGCCAUUGUCCAACCGGAGGUUCCAGCCACAUUAGAGGACAUUGGAGCCAGUUCCGAUGGCAGGAUUUGCAGGAAGGAAGGGUGGAGAACAAAGGGGCGCGGUCGGAAGUUGGAGCUGCCUAUUUUCAAUGGUGACAACCCCGAUGGAUGGAUUUUCCGAGCGGAAAGGUAUUUUAAUAUGAAUCAGCUUUCGAAUUGGGAAAAACUUGAAGCAGCAGUCAUGUGCCUGGAUGGAGAAGCUCUGGCAUGGUACCAAUGGGAAGAGAGUCAACAACCAUUGAAAAGUUGGGAGGAAUUGACGAAACUACUGCUGGAGCAUUUCCGACCGUCGCAAGAGGGAAUGAUCCUGGAAAAAAUUUUGGCACUACAUCAAGAAACUACAGUCCGGGAGUAUCAGCGUGCCUUUGAAAUCUUUCCCGCUCCUUUACUGUCAUUGCCAGAAGGGGUUUUAGUGGGAAGUUUUGUGAAUGGAUUAAAACCCACGAUAAGGGCUGAGGUUAGGAUGUUGAAACCUCAAGGAUUGGGCCAACUUAUGGAGCUAGCCCAAAGGGUGGAAGAUAGGGAUGAAUUAAUGGAACAUGCCCAAUCAUUUUUUGGCCCAAUUAGAAGUAACAAUAAUCCAUACAACCCCAGCCAAAUUAAGCACUGGACACUUCCACCCCUCCAGCCCGCUACAGAGAACAACGUAGACGAUUCCGUCUGCAGCGAUGCCCGGAUCCACCGCCGUCGCCACUGGGUUCCAACCGCCGCCGGUGCCGGCCAAAGGGGGGACUCCUUUCAAACAGCUUACCGAUGAAGACUUGCAAUUGAAAAGAGAAAAAGGGCUGUGUUAUCGAUGUGAUGAAAAAUAUGUGCCGGGCCAUAAAUGCCGAAACAAAAAGUUACAGGUGUUAGUGGUGUAAGAGGAGGAGCUGGUGGAAACUAAAGGGGAGGAAGGGAAUGUGGGGAAAUUGAUCGAGCAAUUGCUCAACUCCGUAGUGGGGCUGACCACUCCCAAAACUAUGAAAGUUAUGGGAUCAAUCAUGGGGCAGCCAGUGGUGGUCUUGAUCGAUUGUGGAGCGACCCACAAUUUUAUCUCAGCUGAGUUAGUGGAGCAAUUGGGAUUAAGUACAACGGAGACUACGAGCUAUGGAGUGUUUAUGGGAACUGGGCUUUCAGUCAGAGGGGCAGGUACCUGUAAAGGGGUGGUGUUUCAUUACCAAGCAUAGAAGUAACAGAGGAUUUUUUACCCUUGCAACUGGCGGUACCGACGUUAUAUUGGGGAUGAAAUGGUUAGGAUCCCUAGGACAAAUGCAAGUUAAUUGGGGCACACUUACAAUGCGAUUCAGAGUGCGAGGAGAACUCAUGCAGCUUCAAGGGGAUACGAGUUUGAGUAAAAUGCGAGUGAGUAUGAAAUCGAUGCAUCCUGUAUUUCAUGUUUCGCAAUUGCGAAAGUCUAUUGGGGAUGUCCAGUCGAUAUCUCAACUGCUGCCGCAGCCAAGGGCUACUGGAGAAUUCAUUUUUGAGCCUGAGGAGAUAUUGGGAGUAAGGCCUAAUUCCGAGUAUUCUAUUAAGGGGUCAGAGGUACUUAUCAAAUGGAAGGAUUUUCCCAACCAUGAGUCUUCGUGGGAGCAACUGGAAAUGAUUCAGCAGCAAUUCCCCGGCUUCCACCAUGGGGACAAGGUGGAUUUCGAGGAGGCGAGUAAUGAUAUACCAUCCACUAUAUUUACAUACACGAGGAGAAAGAAAGAAGGUGAUACAGUCAGCAGGGCAAUUGCAAGAGUUGAUUGAGGGAAUCAAACAUAGUUAUCUAUCUGUUAUUAGUUAGUUAUCGGGGGU